rnacentral:rRNA from 1 species
UAGUCGACGACUUCCGUUAAUUGAUUAUGACGUACUUGUACUGAUUGAGAUUUUAACACGAAGUGAGUGGCGAACGGGUGAGUAACACGUGGGUAACCUGCCCAGAAGUAGGGGAUAACACCUGGAAACAGAUGCUAAUACCGUAUAACAGAGAAAACCGCAUGGUUUUCUUUUAAAAGAUGGCUCUGCUAUCACUUCUGGAUGGACCCGCGGCGUAUUAGCUAGUUGGUGAGGUAAAGGCUCACCAAGGCAGUGAUACGUAGCCGACCUGAGAGGGUAAUCGGCCACAUUGGGACUGAGACACGGCCCAGACUCCUACGGGAGGCAGCAGUAGGGAAUCUUCCACAAUGGACGCAAGUCUGAUGGAGCAACGCCGCGUGAGUGAAGAAGGGUUUCGGCUCGUAAAGCUCUGUUGUUAAAGAAGAACGUGGGUAAGAGUAACUGUUUACCCAGUGACGGUAUUUAACCAGAAAGCCACGGCUAACUACGUGCCAGCAGCCGCGGUAAUACGUAGGUGGCAAGCGUUAUCCGGAUUUAUUGGGCGUAAAGCGAGCGCAGGCGGUCUUUUAAGUCUAAUGUGAAAGCCUUCGGCUCAACCGAAGAAGUGCAUUGGAAACUGGGAGACUUGAGUGCAGAAGAGGACAGUGGAACUCCAUGUGUAGCGGUGAAAUGCGUAGAUAUAUGGAAGAACACCAGUGGCGAAGGCGGCUGUCUGGUCUGCAACUGACGCUGAGGCUCGAAAGCAUGGGUAGCGAACAGGAUUAGAUACCCUGGUAGUCCAUGCCGUAAACGAUGAUUACUAAGUGUUGGAGGGUUUCCGCCCUUCAGUGCUGCAGCUAACGCAUUAAGUAAUCCGCCUGGGGAGUACGACCGCAAGGUUGAAACUCAAAAGAUUGACGGGGCCCCGCACAAGCGGUGGAGCAUGUGUUUAAUCGAGCUACGCGAGAAUCCUACAGUCUUGACAUCUCUGACAGUCU